rnacentral:rRNA from 1 species
GGAUGAACGUUGGCGGCGUGCCUAAUACAUGCAAGUCGAACGAAGACUGUAGUAAUACUGUCUUAGUGGCGAACGGGUGAGUAACGCGUGGGUGACCUGCCCCGAAGUGUGGGAUAACAGUUCGAAAGGAUUGCUAAUACUGCAUAAUAUCCAAGAGAUUAGACGCUUUUGGAUUAAAGGAGUAAUUCGCUUCGGGAGGGGCCCGCGUCCCAUCAGCUAGUUGGUAAGGUAAUGGCUUACCAAGGCGAUGACGGGUAGGGGACCUGAGAGGGUGGCCCCCCACAAUGGAACUGAAACACGGUCCAUACACCUACGGGUGGCAGCAGUAGGGAAUAUUAGUAAUGGGCGAAAGCCUGAACUAGCAACGCCGCGUGUGCGAAGAAGGCCUUCGGGUUGUAAAGCACUUUUUGAGAGGAUGAGGAAGGACGGUACUCUCAGAAUAAGUCUCGGCUAACUACGUGCCAGCAGCCGCGGUAACACGUAGGAGGCAAACGUUAUCCGGAUUUACUGGGCGUAAAGCGCGUGUAGGUGGUUUGGUAAGUAGGGCGUGAAAGCUCCUGGCUCAACUGGGAGAGGACGUUCUAAACUGCCAAGCUUGAGGAUGGUAGAGGGAGGUGGAAUUCCGGGUGUAGCGGUGGAAUGCGCAGAUAUCCGGAGGAACACCAGUGGCGAAGGCGGCCUCCUGGACCACUCCUGACACUCAGACGCGAAAGCUAGGGUAGCAAACGGGAUUAGAGACCCCGGUAGUCCUAGCCCUAAACGAUGUAGACUUGGCGUCGGUGGUUUAAUCGCCAUCGGUGUCGUAGCUAACGCGUUAAGUCUACCGCCUGGGGACUACGGCCGCAAGGUUAAAACUCAAAGGAAUUGACGGGUCCCCGCACAAGCAGCGGAGCGUGUGGUUUAAUUCGAUGCUACACGAAGAACCUUACCUGGGUUUGACAUAGAGGUAGUAGGGAAGCGAAAGCGGACCGACCCUUCGGGGAGCCUCUACAGGUGUUGCAUGGCUGUCGUCAGCUCGUGUCGUGAGAUGUUGGGUUAAGUCCCGCAACGAGCGCAACCCUUGUCACUAGUUGCCAUCAUUGAGUUGGGCACUCUAGUGAGACUGCCGGUGACAAACCGGAGGAAGGUGGGGAUGACGUCAAGUCCUCAUGGCCCUUAUGGGUAGGGCUUCACACGUCAUACAAUGGUCGGUACAGAGGGUUGCCAAGCCGCGAGGUGGAGCCAAUCCCUUAAAGCCGAUCGUAGUCCGGAUCGUAGUCUGCAACUCGACUACGUGAAGUCGGAAUCGCUAGUAAUCGCAGAUCAGCAUGCUGCGGUGAAUACGUUCCCGGGUCU